UUCACACAUGACUGUAAGUCUCUUUGGAUAAAAGCGUCUGCUAAAUGGCAUGUA
rfam:Salmo salar isolate Sally breed double haploid chromosome ssa17, whole genome shotgun sequence.